rnacentral:tRNA from 1 species
ACUUGAAUAGCUUAUAAUUAGAGCAUAACAUUGAAGAUGUUAAGGAAAUUUUUAUUUUUAAGUA